rnacentral:rRNA from 1 species
UAGGGAAUCUUCCGCAAUGGGCGAAAGCCUGACGGAGCAACGCCGCGUGAGUGAUGAAGGUCUUCGGAUCGUAAAACUCUGUUAUUAGGGAAGAACAAAUGUGUAAGUAACUAUGCACGUCUUGACGGUACCUAAUCAGAAAGCCACGGCUAACUACGUGCCAGCAGCCGCGGUAAUACGUAGGUGGCAAGCGUUAUCCGGAAUUAUUGGGCGUAAAGCGCGCGUAGGCGGUUUUUUAAGUCUGAUGUGAAAGCCCACGGCUCAACCGUGGAGGGUCAUUGGAAACUGGAAAACUUGAGUGCAGAAGAGGAAAGUGGAAUUCCAUGUGUAGCGGUGAAAUGCGCAGAGAUAUGGAGGAACACCAGUGGCGAAGGCGACUUUCUGGUCAGUAACUGACGCUGAUGUGCGAAAGCGUGGGGAUCAAACAGG